ACGCACGAUCGGCGACUCAGCCAUAAUUACUCCAUCAGUAAUGAUACCACCAUUUCUCAGUGAUCAAUGCAAAUUUAAGCCUGAAAAUCUGGAUUAGUGUUUCCUGGGUAUUUGAUCUUUUGUGGAUGAGAUGAUGAGAUGCGAUGCCAGUUACAUUUUGGUGUCUUAUGGUUUCCAUUCUUGCUGUCAUACUAUCAUGUUAUUGAUCCAAUGGUGGUGCCAUCAGAAGACACGGAUUUGUUUCCAUGAGUACUUUAUUACUUCGAAAGUGUCAGCCAACAAGUGUAUGUCUACAUGCCCAUCGUAAUUCUGUCAAUCUUUUGGUUAUGCAUUGAUUGCUUUGAUGUGGUAUGUGUGUGUUAAUACUUAAUGCAGUUGCUUGGUUAUAUUAAGGUGUUCAAUUCAUUAUGUUUAAUACAUUAGCAUGGUUACAAUAAGCUUUCAGUUCAUUAGCUUGCUUACAAUAAACUUCUAAUUAAUUAGUGUUCUGGUGGAUUAUUAUCAAAUUCGGAUAUGCACAUCAAACUGUAUCUGGAUUGCCAGUUUCAAUCUAUUUAUAGUUGACGUAGUUACCUUCUUGAUAAUGGCAGAUUGCUGGCGUAGAGCAUAAUGCUGCUCUUUUGUUUGUCUUGCAAAUCCUUCAGGGCAUUAGUAAAUCCUUCUAGUGGAGAUCAUUCAGCAGGUUCAGCAAGAUUUUUCAAAUGGGCCUUCUAGUGCCUUAGUAAAUUGUGUAGCCGACAAGUUUGGUUGUUAUUGUCAGUGUUUACAGGUUUUGUUUGAUUGCAAGUGAAGUUGGUUUGGUUUGGUUUGAUUUUCUACAUUUCUCUCUAGUUCGGACUGCUAACUGCACUUCAAAUGUUUGGUUGCAAAGAGCUCCUGGCAUGGCUAAGAAAUUGGUGACAUUUUGGAAGCCAAGCAUUAUCUGCAGAUAUGCUUUCCCAGGGUGUCCCAGCGUAUUGAUAAUAAUCCAGCUAGGGCCUUUGAAGCUUAUCAACUUCUUCUCACAACUCUCCAGGAUGAAUUUGUUGGUGAAGAACUAGAGCUGGCAUCCCAGAUGGAAAAAUUUUGUGGCUUCGUUGGCAUGUUAUAGGCUGUUAUACUUGAAGGCUACAAACCUUGCGUUUAUCAUUUCUUUGGUUCAGUGUUUCGCAGCAGAUAUCGUAAAGAAGAGGGAUUACCUCCUGGGCUGACUCAGAGUGCGAACACUGAUAGGCGCCGCACCUCUAAACUAAGACUCACGUCGCGCAGGCACUUUCUAUCAGAAGGAUACUAGGAGAGCGAAGAAGUAAACCUCUGCAAAUUACUGUUUACUGGAAAAGUCAGGAAGAAAUGAUUGGUCAACAAACUUGUAUAUAAGCUCUGAGGUUGCUGCAUGUGCAGCCGGAGUCUCUUUUUUACUUGUUAUCAUUGCUUCAUUUCGUUCAUAGGGAUCACAACUGAGAAGUUUGCACGAUCUGCCCUUGUUCCUUCGGGGUGAGGGGUGAGGGGUGGCCAUACACGGUCAAACUGCGGUGCGGCAUGUUAAAACACGUGUGCCAUGCUUGGAGUAGUCGCGGUUGCGCUUAGACUUGUUGAAACGAAGGGGUAUUACUUGAACGGCCUGCAGGAUUUAUCCCUGGGUUUUUUUCUGAAA